CUGCUUGAAAGCCAAAAGGGGACAGCAAAAUUUACGGAAUUGCAAGGACAGCAGUGAACUGAAUAAUCACAUUAUGGUAACAGAGGUAGAACCCCUUUAAGUUAUUGCUGUCUGCUAUUCCAAUCUGUCAAAAGAAAUACAAAUGACCUCUGAUAAUCUACACAACAAUGUUAAACCCAGGAUUUCUACACAACAAUGUUAAACCCAGGAUUGUAACAUACACAUCUGAUAUAGCAGGAUAAAAUUAAGCAUAUGACGAAAUUUUAUCAUGGACCUGUCGACUGUUUCAGGAUGCACUGUUAUCCUUGAGGCCUUAAACCUAGAAGAGUGAAGUGCAAGUUACUUCUCUGGCCAGCAUGUCCUUCAAUCUAAUUACCAAGGUAUAUUUCUACCUGUAGGUCCCACUCAUAAAAAAGAAACAACACCCAUAAACCUGAAACUGUUACCAAAAGCUAGUUGAUGUCAUAUGGAAAUGGUACAGCCUAGU
rnacentral:misc_RNA from 1 species